GGAUGUUGGCUCAGAAGCAGCCACCAUUAAAAGAGUGCGUAAUAGCUCACUGGUCGAGAGACUCUGCGCCGAAGAUGUCCGGGGCUAAAGUACGGAACCGAAGCUUUGGCAAUUGACAUUAGUCAAUUGGGUAGGGGAGCGUUCCUGCAUGGGAGAAGCCUGACCGGAAGGACAGGUGGACAGGCAGGAAGAGAGAAUGCCGGUAUGAGUAGCGAAAAGAAGGGUGAGAAUCCCUUCCACCGAAAGCCUAAGGGUUCCUGGGCAACGAUCGUCGUCCCAGGGUAAGUCGGGACCUAAUCCGAGGCGGAGACGCGUAGGAGAUGGACAACAGGUUGAAAUUCCUGUACUGGCUGAGGCCGUUUGAGCGAAGGAGUGACACAGGAAGGAAGGCGCGCGUGCGAUUGGAAGAGCACGUCCAAGCAGGUAGGUUGGGAGACAGGCAAAUCCGUUUCCCGAGAGGCCGAGAUGCGAUGGGGAGCUUCUGGAGACAGAAGCGAAGGGGCUGGCACUAAACUGUCGAGAAAAGCUUCUAGUGAGGACUCAGGCACCCGUACCGAAACCGACACAGGUAGGCAGGAUGAGAAUUCUAAGGUGCGCGGGAAAACCCUCGUUAAGGAACUCGGCAAAAUAUAUCCGUAACUUCGGGAAAAGGAUAACCCAGCGUACGUGAAGUGCAGAAGCGCACGGAGCGGAGAUGGGUGGCAGAAGAGAGGCCCAAGCGACUGUUUACCACAAACACAGGCGUCUGCUAAAGCGAAAGCUGAUGUAUAGAUGCUGACACCUGCCCGGUGCUGGAAGGUUAAGAGGAAGUGUUAGCGCAAGCGAAGCAGUGAAUUGAAGCCCCAGUAAACGGCGGCCGUAACUAUAACGGUCCUAAGGUAGCGAAAUUCCUUGUCGGGUAAGUUCCGACCCGCACGAAAGGUGUAACGACUUGGGCACUGUCUCAACGAGGGACCCGGUGAAAUUGAAGUACCUGUGAAGAUGCAGGUUACCCGCGACUGGACAGAAAGACCCCAUGGAGCUUUACUGUAACCUGAGAUUGGAUUCCGGUAAGAGAUGUACAGGAUAGUUGGGAGGCUUAGAUACAAGUACGCCAGUAUUUGUGGAGCCAUUGGUGGGAUACCAACCUUGUUUUAUUGGAAUUCUAACGAGAAGCGUAACGAGCUUGCGGACAGUCUCAGGCGGGCAGUUUGACUGGGGCGGUCGCCUCCGAAAGAGUAACGGAGGCGCCCAAAGGUUCCCUCAGCGCGGCCGGAAAUCGCGCGAAGAGUGUAAAGGCAGAAGGGAGCUUGACUGCGAGUCAAACACGACGAGCAGGUACGAAAGUAGGGCUUAGUGAUCCGGUGGUACCGAGUGGAAGGGCCAUCGCUCAACGGAUAAAAGCUACCCUGGGGAUAACAGGCUAAUCUCUCCCAAGAGUCCAUAUCGACGGGGAGGUUUGGCACCUCGAUGUCGGCUCAUCACAUCCUGGGGCUGAAGUAGGUCCCAAGGGUUGGGCUGUUCGCCCAUUAAAGUGGUACGCGAGCUGGGUUCAGAACGUCGUGAGACAGUUCGGUCCCUAUCCAUCGCGGGCGUAAGAAACUUGAAAGGGGCUGCUCCUAGUACGAGAGGACCGGAGUGGACCGACCAAUGGUGUACCAGUCAUGGCGCCAGCCGUGCAGCUGGGUAGCUACGUCGGGGACGGAUAAACGCUGAAAGCAUCUAAGCGUGAAACCAGCCUAGAGAUGAGGUUUCUCAUUGUUUUAACAAGUAAGGUCCCACAAAGACGAUGUGGUUGAUAGGCCGGGAGUGGAAGUACAGCGAUGUACGGAGCGGACCGGUACUAAUAGACCGAGGACUUGACUUA
rnacentral:rRNA from 1 species